rnacentral:rRNA from 1 species
AGUAAACGCUGGCGGUAGGCCUAACACAUGCAAGUCGAACGGCAGCACAGUAAGAGCUUGCUCUUACGGGUGGCGAGUGGCGGACGGGUGAGGAAUACAUCGGAAUCUACUUUUUCGUGGGGGAUAACGUAGGGAAACUUACGCUAAUACCGCAUACGACCUACGGGUGAAAGCAGGGGAUCUUCGGACCUUGCGCGAUUGAAUGAGCCGAUGUCGGAUUAGCUAGUUGGCGGGGUAAAGGCCCACCAAGGCGACGAUCCGUAGCUGGUCUGAGAGGAUGAUCAGCCACACUGGAACUGAGACACGGUCCAGACUCCUACGGGAGGCAGCAGUGGGGAAUAUUGGACAAUGGGCGCAAGCCUGAUCCAGCCAUACCGCGUGGGUGAAGAAGGCCUUCGGGUUGUAAAGCCCUUUUGUUGGGAAAGAAAAGCAGCAGGUUAAUACCCCGCUGUUCUGACGGUACCCAAGGAAUAAGCACCGGCUAACUUCGUG